rnacentral:lncRNA from 1 species
GAAAAAACCUGUUCUUCCAUACCUGUCAAGGAGAUUCCAUCAUUCAGCUAAACUUCUGAAUAUUUUUUAAAACCCAAAUCAAACUGCCAACUCCAUUCUCCUCAGCUAGAUCGAUACCAUCCAGGCUCAACGACAAAAUGUCCUCAAACUUUCGGGUCUGGCAUCAUACUAAUCACCUAGCUCGUAUCCUCCACCAAUACCAUAGCCAAACCAUCUUCCCUGUUUUUACUUUCGUUGCAAGAUUCUAUCUUGCUUUCAGGGUAUGUAUAGGAUCAUUUUCCCGAUCCUUCUCAUCGUGUUCCUUCUUCCCCAUGUUUCUCCCUAUGACCUCCUCCUUCUCGAUCACAGAAUCACUGGCCUCGACCUGGUGCGGGACAAUUCUUAGAUUUUUCUCACCCGAUGAUUCCUCGCGUGUGUGUAUAUUACCCACGGGCACCAUCUCGUUUUAGUGGCAAGUUGGGUUUGGAUGGAUCUAAGCACUGCAGAUCUAGGCUUCAUGAUCCACUUCUCUUUCUCCUCUCUUGUAAAUUUUCUUCUACCUUUAGGAUCCAAUCGAGUAUCCCGGAUUGGCCCAUUUCAUCUCCUUCCAUUACCAUUUAGGUCUUGGGUAUGAAAACGUUAACCUCCCUCUAAAUUGCAGGUCUGGUUUUUAUGAAGGCCUUUCAGGUAAGUCCGACUAGUGCACCGCCCUGAUCACAUUUUGUAUUCCGCCUGCCCUACCUAUUUCACAAUCUUCUCAUUUGCAACAUUAGAUUUAAAUGCCACCGCAUAAGACUUAGUGAUGGUCACCUCCGCUAAUACAUGAAUAGGCACCUUGCAAUGUGGGCAGUUGAACACAGUCUUACACGAUGUAGAUUGCCUAUGAACAUCUGUCAUUUCAACAACCUUUUUCAGCUUAGCACUCAGCUCGAGGUUAACCACUGGACACUGUGCCGACACGAAAGCUGCGUUCAUGAAGAGUCACCAUCCCCUUCUCUCCACGCCUUCUAGAAUAAAUAUUCUCUGUCUUUCUUCCCCAAACCACUGGCAACACCAGGCAAAGACCUCUUUUGUUACUUCCAAAGGAGAUUCGAAGUUCGUGAUUUCGAUGGACUAAAUGUUUUGCCCAUGGGAAUUUUACAUUCCGCUAAUAAAAGUCCUCCAGCACCGUGAGCAACCAAUCAACCUCCGCCUUUUCCAGGAAGAUAAUUGUUCUGAAAUCCUGCGCUUUCUCACAAAUCCUCAGUCCCUCUGUCCUCCUAUCCUCACAGUUCAUAUCGAAAGAUUUAUUAUCUAUGACUAAAAAUCUUUGUCCGUUUUGGCUCAUAUUACUCUCCAGUGCGGUUGGCCCCAUAGGCCAACUCUGGGUCACCAAAGCAUUUUACUGGGAGAGAGAUUUGACACAGAGAGAGAGAGAGAGAGAGAGAGAGAGAGAUUGGUCUUCUGCAUGGGAGAGAGGUUUGACAGAGAGAGAGAGAGAGAGAGAGAUUGGUCUUCUGCAUGGUUUAGUUGAACCGAUUUUGGUAACACUAAUUUAGAAAGUUAGAACAGAGCACGAUUUUCUAGAGCCCACUCACAUUCAAAUGUGCUUGAGGCUCAUCUGCCCCUGUCACUUGAAAUCCAUAGCCAUUUGGUAGUCGACUCAACAGGAGGUAGCAGUUGCAUAUUUGAGAUUGGUGUGAGACACGGCAAGCAGAACUAUGAGAUUAAUAGAACUUGCGUCAGCAAGUGGCACAUUUUGUGGUGGAAUUCUACAGCUUGAGCUUCGGAGGUUUGCAAAUCAGAGUCUUCUAAGACUAGUGGUAGGAUUGUGUCAAUCACCACCCCAUGGUGGCUGGUGAACGAAUUGGUGAACAUUCGGAUUG